GCGCAGCAGGCGAGAAAUAGUCUACAAUGGACGAAAGUCUGAUAGUGCGACGCCGUGUGUGCGAUUAAUUCCUUCGGGAUGUAAAGCACUUUUUCUAUGAGAUAAAAGCUCUUUAGGUUAAUAGCUUAUUGAGACCGGAUAUUAUUAUAGGAAUAAGCUCCGGCUAACUCCGUGCCAGCAGCCGCGGUAAUACGGAAGGAGCGAGCGUUGUCCGGAUUUUACUAGGCGUAAAGGGGCUAGGUAGGCGACUAAUUAAGUUAUAUGUUAAAUCCCCACGGCUCAACUGUGGUCCCUGCAUGUAAUACUGGUUAGAUUAGAGUACUGUAGAGGAAGGCAGAAUUCCUGGAGUAGCGGUGGAAUGCGCAGAUAUCAGGAAG
rnacentral:rRNA from 1 species